rnacentral:rRNA from 1 species
GAUGAACGCUGGCGGCGUGCCUAAUACAUGCAAGUCGAGCGAACAGACGAGGAGCUUGCUCCUCUGACGUUAGCGGCGGACGGGUGAGUAACACGUGGAUAACCUACCUAUAAGACUGGGAUAACUUCGGGAAACCGGAGCUAAUACCGGAUAAUAUAUUGAACCGCAUGGUUCAAUAGUGAAAGACGGUUUUGCUGUCACUUAUAGAUGGAUCCGCGCCGCAUUAGCUAGUUGGUAAGGUAACGGCUUACCAAGCCAACGAUGCGUAGCCGACCGGAGAGAGUAAACGGACACACUGAUACUGAGACACGGUCCAGACUGCUACGAGGAGCAAGAAUAGAAAAUCUUCCGCAAUGGGCGAAGGCCUGACGGAGCAACGCCGCGUGAGUGAUGAAGGUCUUCGGAUCUUAAAACUCUGUUAUUAGGGAAGAACAAAUGUGUAAGUAACUAUGCACGUCUUGACGGUACCUAAUCAGAAAGCCACGGCUAACUACGUG